rnacentral:rRNA from 1 species
CAGUAGCCACGGGAAUACGAAGGGGGCUAGCGCUGCUCGGAAUGACUGGGCGUAAAGGGCGCGUAGGCGGUCACGAUAGUCAGAUGUGAAAUUCCUGGGCUUAACCUGGGGACUGCAUUCGAUACUGUGUGGCUUGAGUGUGGAAGAGGGUCGUGGAAUUCCCAGUGUAGAGGUGAAAUUCGUAGAUAUUGGGAAGAACACCGGUGGCGAAGGCGGCGACCUGGUCCAUAACUGGCGCUGAGGCGCGAAAGCGUGGGGAGCAAACAGGAUUAGAUACCCCAGUAGUCCCUGUCUCUAUACA